AUUGAACGCUGGCGGCAUGCCUUACACAUGCAAGUCGAACGGCAGCACGGGAGCAAUCCUGGUGGCGAGUGGCGAACGGGUGAGUAAUAUAUCGGAACGUGCCCAGUCGUGGGGAUAACGUAGCGAAAGCUACGCUAAUACCGCAUACGAUCUAUGGAUGAAAGCGGGGGAUCGCAAGACCUCGCGCGAUUGGAGCGGCCGAUAUCAGAUUAGGUAGUUGGUGAGGUAAAGGCUCACCAAGCCGACGAUCUGUAGCUGGUCUGAGAGGACGACCAGCCACACUGGGACUGAGACACGGCCCAGACUCCUACGGGAGGCAGCAGUGGGGAAUUUUGGACAAUGGGCGCAAGCCCUGAUCCAGCAAUGCCGCGUGCAGGAUGAA
rnacentral:rRNA from 1 species